ensembl:lncRNA
GCUUGUAUCCCUGCGACCGGCAACCGGGGCUCCCAGGGCUCCCAGGGCUCCAGUGUCGCAGGUGGUUGGUUUCCGGCUUUGCGGACCCCGGACCUGAGGACGUAGGCGGAGCGAACUUGUCGGCGCGUGACUGGAGAGGCGGCUGCUUUUUCGCGGAGUUCCCCGGCCUUAGGUUGUAGGGUGGGCCUCCUCCAUUCCGCACUCGCGCCGUUUACUUUUUUCCUCCCUUUUUGAGUUUAUCCCGGUGACCAGAGUUUUCUGGACUAUGUACAGUGUGCUGGACGGUGUUCUAGGUGCUUUGGCGGUUACAAAGUGGACCUGAAAAGGACCUUUGCCUAGUAUCCUAGGUGUUUUAGGCCUAGGGAAGAAGAGAUAUAAGGCAAGGUGGAAAGUGCUAGAAGCCUUUAGAAAGCUACCUGAUUGGGGCGAUGACAGUUGAGAAGCAAGAGUCGGUUCACCCUUCGGGCUUACGACACAGUGCUGAGACCUCAGGCUCUCAAGGCAGGUUUGAAAACUCAAAGUUGGCCAAGCAGUGGUGUCCAGCCUGUGAGAGGACUCCCUUAUUCUGAAAGAUGUCCACAGUUGUUUCUAGUAUCCAGUUCCCGCCUCCCACCUAGAUACCAGGUAUUCUCUGAUAUUUUUAUUUUUUAUUUUUAUUUUUUAUUUUUAUAGGUCAUAGCUACAAUUGUUCAGAAUGUAGAAGGUGACAAAGGGUAUAUGAUGAAAAGUAUUUCUCCCUCCUCUACUUCAAUUUUCUCCUGAUGUAUAUAUAUACCUUUAGAUACUCUGAAUUUCCCAGAUGCUGUCUGGAUUUCUAAAUAAAUAUGUAUAUAAAUAUUUUUAAAAAUCCCCACCCCCACAAAAUGGCAAAUUAUAAUACACCCUGUUGGGUGUGUCACACUUAAAGUAUCCUGAAGAUGGUAACAUAAAAAAUAUAAAAAUAAGGGGUUCCUCAUUCUUACGUUUAAACAGCUGCAUCAUAAUCUUUAUAAGAAUGACCUGACUAGCCAGUCACCUACUGGUUGGCUUUUAGGUUGUUCCCAAUCUUGUUCUAAGGCUGCAGUAAAUAUCCUGGUAUGUAAUGCUUUUCAGUGGCUUUUUAUAUUUGAGAAUCACAAAAGCAUGUGUAUGAGUUACACAGUAGGAGAUACAUGAUUAGUCCUGAAGAUCCUUAAUCCACAAGAAGCACAUAAGCCUAGUUAGGGAGAUAAACUUGUAGACAAUGGCAAUGAACAGUAAAGAUUCCGAUGUUAUAAUUAAGGGAUGAAUGAAGUGCUGUGAGCAUGAAGGUAUUAACUCUGAGCAUCAGGGAAGGCUUUUUGGAGGAGGUGAGGUUUUUUGUUUUGGCCACACUGCAUGACAUGUGGGAUCUUAGUUCCCCUACCAGGGAUCGAACCCUGGCUUCCUACAUUGGGGGCCUGGAGUCCUAAGCACUGCCAGGGAAGUCCUUGAAGGAGGUGAGUUUUGAACAAUAAGUAAAUACUUCACAGGAGAAGAGAGCCUAGGAGAGUGAUGUCAGACAGGAAGACAGUGGGAGGGCCUGUCAAGCCCAACCAAAGAUGUAUGCAUAGAAUGGAGGGGAAAAGGUUGCAAGAGACAAAUUCAGGGAAGUAGCCUGUCCUGACUGCCAGGGCCUGGUUUGUGAGUUAAGACGUUUGCGCAUAUGCCUGCUGGCAGUGAGAAACCAAAGAACUAGUGAUGAAAACAUUGGUGGAAUGGAGGAUGAACUAAGGGAGAAGACUGAGGAUAGGGCAGUCAGAAAGGUGUUGAAAACUGUGUGCAGAGGAUGAGGAAAGCAUAUUUAAUGACACAAAUAAGGGAGAAAAGCAUGGUUUAAAUAGCAUGUGUAAUGUGUUCUCAUUUUUUAUAACCAUUCCCCAGGAAUCAGCUCAAAGGGCAGAGGCCAUCAAAAUAUUAACAUGGACUAUAUUAAAAACAUUCAGAAUAUUUUCAUUUUUGCAGUACCCACACUUUAUGUGUCCAUAAAAGGGGGAGGCAGAAAUAUUUACAGGAAAAUAUGAAAUGUACAAAGUAUGUCCAUUUUUAUUUUUAUCAAAUCAUAUUGAGCUAAUGAACAUUUUUAUUAAAUCAUUUACCUAUAUAUGUAUAUAUGAUUUAAUAAAUACAUAUAUAAAGGAAAGGAUGUCCUCAAAAUGUUUAACAUUUUGUUUCUGCUAAUUUUAUAGGUGAAAAAUGAUAUCUUAAAGUUUCGUUUGUUUAGAGUGAUGUUGAGUGUAUCUUAUAUGUAGGAGCCAUUUGUAUUUUUCUGUGAACUGUCUAGUCAUGUCUUCUGUUUUUGUAUUUAGUUUCUAAAUAUUCACAGGAGCUCUUUAUGUUUUCUAUGUUGCAAUGAAUUUGUCCUAGUGUUAUUUGUAUUUUGUAUUUAUGCCUUUUUUCCAAUUAAACAUUAACUUUUUUCAUAUAGUCAGAUGUUUCCUUUUUUUAAUGUGUGUUUGAAUUUUGUGCUAUGCUGUGUAAAGUAGGC